CGGCCUUCCCUCCUUCCUUUCAGAAAGUAGGGCUUGUGAAAUCGACUCUUUUCUCAGACUCUUAGCUGGAAAAAGUUGGGCGAGAGAGAUUUGCCAUUCAAUCUGCAACCGGGUAGUGGAUGCAGAGGGAACCCAGAUUCACCCCGGACGUAAGAGACCGGCCAAGAGCUGUCACGGGGCAAAGUACCAGUCGUAGCGACGGCGGCGGUCGCCAGACACCUGGAAACCCCGGGACCGCGACCUCUGCUUCUCCCUCUCCCGAUCUUCUUCAGCGGAACUGUUCCCCCGGCGCGUAACGCCGACUGCAGGACAGCCUCCCCAAGGCUUGCCGGACAAAAGGUUCAUAGAUUCCCGAACCCAGCAAAGCGCAAGGAGACAAACGUGCAGUCAGCCCAGGACAGUGGGAAGAAGCCCUGGGGCCAGCUUCCCUCCACCAGCUCAACAGAACAAAUGCUCCCGGCUUCGUGCCUGAAGUGCUGCAACAGGUGGCUGGCCGGGGCUGACUUCAUCAUUCAGGCAUCGUUCCACCUUCAUCUCCAAGGCCAGGCCUCCUUCCUGGGGGAUGUUUCACACAACCUCUCCGUGUCACCGUCAUUCGCUGAGGUUUUCUCCCUGUAUAUUUUGUCAUUUUGUUGAGGGAUGGGGGAGGGGCUCCUUUUGGGAUCAGUUGAAUAAAAAUAUAGUUCAUUUUAAGUUCUCUCCUGGCUGGGGAAAAGCAGGCAGUACUGGACAGAAUGUAGAGUUCUUUAGCGGAGUGCUUGAACUUAAACUUGACUUCAGGUGUGCUGGGUGAAGGAGGGAAGUAAAAAGUGAGAAGGGGAGCAAAAAGAUGUAAAAAGGAGAUCUCAGGCUAGCUUUCUGCAUCACCUAUUGAUGACUUGAAUCUAUCAGUAUAAAUACAUAGUCUCACACAUUAGAGGCAGGCAUAUAGGUUUUAAAAUUCUGGGUUGUUUAUACAGGUGCAGAACAAAGUCUUUCUUUAGAAAAGAUUAAUGGUGGGGAAAGUGCUAGAUUUUCUCUAAACAGUCGCAAAAAAUCUGUACCCAGCCCCAGCGCGAAGCGGGUCAUGGCCAGUUUCUUUUUCUUCAAGGAACUGACUGACCCCAAAAGUUCAUGCUUAUUUUUUUUCAUAGCUUUUUCUUUCCCUUUAUCUUUUGUGUUCUUUUCUUUUUGAUUCUCUAUAUUCCUUCUUUCCAUUCUUUUUCCUUCCUCUGUAUCUCUCCUCCUUCUCCCCUCCCUCCCUCUGUUCUCUUUUAAGAAAGAUAGCUCUUUUCACCAUUUUUCUGUUAUCUUUCUUUCAUUUAUUUCUAAUUACAUUUUCAUCCUUUUACUCAUUUUUUUUUCAAGUUGCAGACUCCCAGUAAAGAUUAGGGCAUGUAUCAUCAAACAUUUCAUAUUAGUAUAUAACUGUAGUUUGCUUUAAACAUAUUUGUAAUAUCUUCACACUUUAACAUGCUUUUGCUUUUCCUUCUCUCUCAAUGCAACAGUCCCAUGAGCUGAACAGUGCAAAUAUAAUUAUCUCUUUUGAGAGCCUAACUGUUUUAUUGUUUUGGCAAGUUACCAUACAUUGCAAAUGAAUAAUAAAGCCAUUAUUUUUGUAUUUUUUAAAAGCAUAUUGAAAACAAUUCCUAUCUGUCCAUGCUUUGCAGCCUUUUAAAUUUGUAGCAUGAAUAUACAGUUGUUUAUGGUAUCCAUUAGUGGUCUUGACAUUCCUUAGGAUGUGCUUUUUAAGUAUGCAAUGGAAGGGUGGGUGGGCUUAAGUUACAUUGUAAAACAAACAUUAAUACAUUUAAUAAUGUUUUGUAAUCCUGGUUUUCCUGCUUAUUGGCUGUAUGACCUCUGGCAAUUUACUUUUUCUGAGAUCCAGAUUGCUGAUCUAUAAAAUGAACUAUCUGUCUUAUAAGGAAGAGGAAGUAUGUAAGCAGUUUUCUGGCCCAGAGCCUCAUACAUAGAAGAAGAUCGAUGAAUGCUAAUUAGUUGUAUUAUUAUGAAUUGUUCUGCCAAACAGCUAAUAAGUAUCAGGUCGGGAGCUGACCCAAGUUUUGUACCCCAGGACUUGUUCUGGGUUUUAGGUGAGACCAGGAUGUUUCAUUUGCUUUCGUAGCAGACUUCUGGAGUUUGAGGUACAUAAUCCCAUCACCUGACAUUCUCCAUAGGUCUUGUAAGAGACCUCACUGAGGGAAAAUGGACAGACCUGCAUUAGAAACCUUUUUUUUCUCGAAAGUUCCCUUACCCUAAAGUCACAGCACUUCUCCAAUCCUCACUUUCUCCAUUUGAAAAUUGGGGUAAAAUUCCAAAAUCAGAGUUAUUGAAAGGAUUAAAUGAGAUUGUGGUGUAUGUGAAAGCACACUCAGAUGUAACACAGAAAAGGCAUGUAAUAUAUUAAAUAUAUUUUAAAAUGCAAUAUUGAAAUAUUGAAAAUAUUUUAUAAUAUUAAAAACAGCUUAAACCUUCUUAGGUUUUCUAAAAGGGUAGAGUGAGGUUGGUUAAUAAUUACAGACCAUAAAAAAAUAGGCCAUUUCUGGCUACUGUCCCCUUCUAACCCUGCCUAUAAGUACUAGGUGAGGAAGUCUGGAGUUGGGAAGGUCAGGUGGGUGUAGGCUUUAGGGAGAGCAGGGAUUGCAUCCACCUUCUGUGAACAGCAAGUCAAAACAUUAGUAGGUAAAUGCUUAAGAAAUGAUUGUUGUGGGAAUGCAUUUGAGCCAUCCCCACAUGACUUUCCUGGUGGUGUCUUCCCAAAGUCUUCUGAUUUUCUGAGCUAUCUGUUGGCUGAAGAAAUUGCCCAUAGCUUUGAUCUACAAACACACAGUUUCCAGCUGGCCAAUAUGGGAGCCACUAGCCACAUAGAGCUAUCGAGAACUUGAAAUGUGGCUAGUCAUGUACAGUAUUGUAUAAUACACACCAGAUACGGAGAACAAUACGAAUAAGAGAAUGUAAAAUAUCUCAUUAAUAUGUCUUAAAAAUUACAUCAAACGUUGACAACAUUUUGGAUGUUCUGGGUUCGCAAAAAUGUCAUUAAAAUUAAUUUCGCCUUUA